UUGCAGCCAAUUAAGCCGACCAUGACCCCCCCCCAGUGGGGUCCUGGUGUGCACUGGCUGCAAACAGAGACCCCCCGGCUGUGUAGGGCACCCGCCCCCCCCUCCCCCGGCGGGGUGCCCAAAGGGGCCGGGGGCACAAAA